UGGCGGACGGGUGAGUAACGCGUGGGUAACCUGCCUUACACAGGGGGAUAACACUUGGAAACAGGUGCUAAUACCGCAUAACCAUAGUUACCGCAUGGUAACUAUGUAAAAGGUGGCUAUGCUACCGCUUUUGGAUGGGCCCGCGGCGCAUUAGCUAGUUGGUGGGGUAAAGGCUUACCAAGGCAAUGAUGCGUAGCCGAACUGAGAGGUUGAUCGGCCACAUUGGGACUGAGACACGGCCCAAACUCCUACGGGAGGCAGCAG
rnacentral:rRNA from 1 species